rnacentral:rRNA from 1 species
CAGUAGCCGCGGGAAUACGAAGGGGGCUAGCGUUGUUCGGAUUUACUGGGCGUAAAGGGCGCGUAGGCGGGCGAUUAAGUCAGGGGUGAAAUCCCAAGGCUCAACCUUGGAACUGCCUUUGAUACUGAUUGUCUUGAGUUCGAGAGAGGUAAGUGGAACUGCGAGUGUAGAGGUGAAAUUCGUAGAUAUUCGCGAGAACACCAGUGGCGAAGGCGGCUUACUGGCUCGAUACUGACGCUGAGGCGCGAAAGCGUGGGGAGCAAACAGGAUUAGAUACCCCCGUAGUCCCUGUCUCUUAUAC